UGUAUGGUACGAUCGCGCGGCGACUCGGCGGCGAAAACAGCGAGUCGGUUCCACUCGGCAGUAGUCCAGCGCCGGUCAGAGACACACAUGAGAUCGGCCACGAUGUAGGGACCGGUUGUGCUCGUCAGCCUAUUCCGCUCACAGACGGAACGCGCGAAUCGCCGGUCGCGUUGACGCUGUGCGCCUUUGAGAAGCGGUAUUCCUCCCCAGUGCUGGCGCGUCCACGAAUAAAGCCGCCCACGGCAACAGUGGGCGCAUGCAUCUUCAUCGACCAGAUGGGCACCGACCACGGCGACAAAGACCUCGUAGCGGCCGUCUGAUGCGGCCGCACACGCGGCCAUGGUCGCCGCGCUAGGAUAGCGCUCCAAGAGAACCAGCAGAUCGUCCUCGCUCCAGGAGGUGGCCGCACAGGCCGCGACGACGUCGUCCCACGGAUAGCCUUGUCCGAGCAGACGGUAGGUGAGCGAGCGGUCGCCCAUGGCCGCCGCCGUGGCUACGGCAAUGGCGCCGUCGAUCGGUUUGCCGAUCGCCAAAGUCACAGCGUCCACCAGAUCGGCGCUUCCCACCAUCAACGCCAGCGCCGCGGCGCGUCCGGUCCAGACGUAUGGGAACGCGGCGCACAGCCACAACACCAAAGUACGGUGCUUGCCCAAGAUCGCCGCAUCUACAGAUGCGUUGGUGAGCACGAGCGCCGACGCGUCGAUAGCCUUUACACAGGCCCGCCAGUGAUGGCAUGUACGCGCCACCACAGGCAACCACGGGCGGCCGACAAACCCCAAUAUCGCGCAGAUUAUUUCAGAGGGCAAGGUUUCCAUGGCGUGUGUGCGGGUUGCCUGUUCUUUCCUGGUGUCGAAAAGGAUUGAAAUCCAGUCUCUUGGGUGUGAGGCUUUGGGCGCCGUCGCAAAGAGAGAAAAAUAAAAGCCUCUCGAAUGCGAUUCACACAGUCGGCGCCGGGGGCGCGUCGACCGACCGACAAAGAGGCAAAUC
rnacentral:lncRNA from 1 species